GACGAACGCUGGCGGCGUGCUUAACACAUGCCAGUCGUACGGUAAGGCCCCUAUCUUGGUGGGGUUGCUCGAGUGGCGAACGGGGGAGUAACACUUCGUUGCCCUGCCCUUUACUUCGGGAUAAGCUUGGUAAACUGGUUCUAAUUCCGUUUUGGACCUUGGUUUUGUGUCUUUUGGUGGACCGUUUAUUGUUUUUGUGCAGGAUGAGCUCGCGGCCUAUCAGCUUGUUGGUGGGUUAAUGGCCUACCAAGGCGUCGACGGGUAGCCGGGCUGAGUGGGUGGACGGCCACAUGGGGACUGAGAUACGGGCCAGACUGCUACGGGAGGGAGCAGUAGGGAAUAUUGCACAAUGGGCGAAAGCAUGAUGCAGCGAAGCCGCGUGGGGGAUGACGGCCUUCGGGUUGUAAACUCCUUUCGUUAGGGACGAAGCCGCACUUUUUUUGGGUGUGGUGACGGUACCUUUGUUAAGAAGCACCGGCUAACUACGUG
rnacentral:rRNA from 1 species